rnacentral:rRNA from 1 species
AACGUAGGAGACAAACGUUAUCCGGAGUUACUGGGCGUAAAGGGCGUGUAGGCGGUUUGUUAAGUCUGGCGUGAAAGCUCUCGGCUAAACCGGGAGAGGUCGUUGGAUACUGGCAAACUUGAGGACGGUAGAGGCGUGUGGAAUUCCGGGUGUAGUGGUGAAAUGCGUAGAGAUCCGGAGGACCACCAGUGGCGAAGGCGACACGCUGGGCCGUACCUGACGCUAAAGCGCGACAGCAUGGGGAGCAAACGGG